GGUGCUUGCAUCAUGAUUUACAUUUGAGUGAGUGGCGAACUGGUGAGUAACACGUGGGAAACCUGCCCAGAAGCGGGGGAUAACACCUGGAAACAGAUGCUAAUACCGCAUAACAACUUGGACCGCAUGGUCCGAGUUUGAAAGAUGGCUUCGGCUAUCACUUUUGGAUGGUCCCGCGGCGUAUUAGCUAGAUGGUGGGGUAACGGCUCACCAUGGCAAUGAUACGUAGCCGACCUGAGAGGGUAAUCGGCCACAUUGGGACUGAGACACGGCCCAAACUCCUACGGGAGGCAGCAGUAGGGAAUCUUCCACAAUGGACGAAAGUCUGAUGGAGCAACGCCGCGUGAGUGAAGAAGGGUUUCGGCUCGUAAAACUCUGUUGUUAAAGAAGAACAUAUCUGAGAGUAACUGUUCAGGUAUUGACGGUAUUUAACCAGAAAGCCACGGCUAACUACGUGCCAGCAGCCGCGGUAAUACGUAGGUGGCAAGCGUUGUCCGGAUUUAUUGGGCGUAAAGCGAGCGCAGGCGGUUUUUUAAGUCUGAUGUGAAAGCCUUCGGCUCAACCGAAGAAGUGCAUCGGAAACUGGGAAACUUGAGUGCAGAAGAGGACAGUGGAACUCCAUGUGUAGCGGUGAAAUGCGUAGAUAUAUGGAAGAACACCAGUGGCGAAGGCGGCUGUCUGGUCUGUAACUGACGCUGAGGCUCGAAAGUAUGGGUAGCAAACAGGAUUAGAUACCCUGGUAGUCCAUACCGUAAACGAUGAAUGCUAAGUGUUGGAGGGUUUCCGCCCUUCAGUGCUGCAGCUAACGCAUUAAGCAUUCCGCCUGGGGAGUACGGCCGCAAGGCUGAAACUCAAAGGAAUUGACGGGGGCCCGCACAAGCGGUGGAGCAUGUGGUUUAAUUCGAAGCUACGCGAAGAACCUUACCAGGUCUUGACAUACUAUGCAAAUCUAAGAGAUUAGACGUUCCCUUCGGGGACAUGGAUACAGGUGGUGCAUGGUUGUCGUCAGCUCGUGUCGUGAGAUGUUGGGUUAAGUCCCGCAACGAGCGCAACCCUUAUUAUCAGUUGCCAGCAUUAAGUUGGGCACUCUGGUGAGACUGCCGGUGACAAACCGGAGGAAGGUGGGGAUGACGUCAAAUCAUCAUGCCCCUUAUGACCUGGGCUACACACGUGCUACAAUGGAUGGUACAACGAGUUGCGAACUCGCGAGAGUAAGCUAAUCUCUUAAAGCCAUUCUCAGUUCGGAUUGUAGGCUGCAACUCGCCUACAUGAAGUCGGAAUCGCUAGUAAUCGCGGAUCAGCAUGCCGCGGUGAAUACGUUCCCGGGCCUUGUACACACCGCCCGUCACACCAUGAGAG
rnacentral:rRNA from 1 species